rfam:Halanaerobium hydrogeniformans chromosome, complete genome.
UUGUCCUUUUAAAUCAGUCCAGAGAGGCUGGCAAAGGAAGAUUGCUUUAUAAAAAUUAGAGAGCAGCAAAAUUCUAAGUGCUUUUAUAUCUUUUAGUAAAUUUUUCUAAUAGAUAUUUAUU